CAGCAGCCGCGGUAAUACGAAGGGGGCUAGCGUUGCUCGGAAUGACUGGGCGUAAAGCGUGCGUAGGCGGUUCGUUAAGUCUGUUGUGAAAUCCCUGGGCUCAACCUGGGAAUGGCAGCGGAUACUGGAAGGCUAGAGUGCGGUAGAGGGUAGUGGAAUUCCCGGUGUAGCAGUGAAAUGCGUAGAGAUCGGGAGGAACACCAGUGGCGAAGGCGGCUACCUGGACCAGCACUGACACUGAGGCACGAAAGCGUGGGGAGCAAACAGGAUUAGAUACCCCUGUAGUCCCUGUCUCUUAUAC
rnacentral:rRNA from 1 species